rnacentral:rRNA from 1 species
CAGGCUUAACACAUGCAAGUCGAGGGGCAGCAUGGUCUUAGCUUGCUAAGACUGAUGGCGACCGGCGCACGGGUGAGUAACACGUAUCCAACCUGCCGUCUACUCUUGGACAGCCUUCUGAAAGGAAGAUUAAUACAAGAUGGCAUCAUGAGUCCGCAUGUUCACAUGAUUAAAGGUAUUCCGGUAGACGAUGGGGAUGCGUUCCAUUAGAUAGUAGGCGGGGUAACGGCCCACCUAGUCUUCGAUGGAUAGGGGUUCUGAGAGGAAGGUCCCCCACAUUGGAACUGAGACACGGUCCAAACUCCUACGGGAGGCAGCAGUGAGGAAUAUUGGUCAAUGGGCGAGAGCCUGAACCAGCCAAGUAGCGUGAAGGAUGACCGCCCUAUGGGUUGUAAACUUCUUUUAUAAAGGAAUAAAGUCGGGUAUGGAUACCCGUUUGCAUGUACUUUAUGAAUAAGGAUCGGCUAACUCCGUGCCAGCAGCCGCGGUAAUACGGAGGAUCCGAGCGUUAUCCGGAUUUAUUGGGUGUAAAGGGAGCGUAGAUGGAUGUUUAAGUCAGUUGUGAAAGUUUGCGGCUCAACCGUAAAAUUGCAGUUGAUACUGGAUAUCUUGAGUGCAGUUGAGGCAGGCGAAAUUCGUGGUGUAGCGGUGAAAUGCUUAGAUAUCACGAAGAACUCCGAUUGCGAAGGCAGCCUGCUAAGCUGCAACUGACAUUGAGGCUCGAAAGUGUGGGUAUCAAACAGGAUUAGAUACCCUGGUAGUCCACACGGUAAACGAUGAAUACUCGCUGUUUGCGAUAUACUGCAAGCGGCCAAGCGAAAGCGUUAAGUAUUCCACCUGGGGAGUGCGCCGGCAACGGUGAAACUCAAAGGAAUUGACGGGGGCCCGCACAAGCGGAGGAACAUGUGGUUUAAUUCGAUGAUACGCGAGGAACCUUACCCGGGCUUAAAUUGCAGAUGAAUUACGGUGAAAGCCGUAAGCCGCAAGGCAUCUGUGAAGGUGCUGCAUGGUUGUCGUCAGCUCGUGCCGUGAGGUGUCGGCUUAAGUGCCAUAACGAGCGCAACCCUUGUUGUCAGUUACUAACAGGUUCCGCUGAGGACUCUGACAAGACUGCCAUCGUAAGAUGUGAGGAAGGUGGGGAUGACGUCAAAUCAGCACGGCCCUUACGUCCGGGGCUACACACGUGUUACAAUGGGGGGUACAGAGGGCCGCUACCACGCGAGUGGAUGCCAAUCCCAAAAACCUCUCUCAGUUCGGACUGGAGUCUGCAACCCGACUCCACGAAGCUGGAUUCGCUAGUAAUCGCGCAUCAGCCACGGCGCGGUGAAUACGUUCCCGGGCCUUGUACACACCGCCCGUCAAGCCAUGGGAGCCGGGGGUACCUGAAGUGCGUAACCGCGAGGAGCGCCCUAGGGUAAAACUGGUGACUGGGGCUAAGUAGUAACAAGGUA